CAUGGAAGUGAUUGGAACACCUGAAUUCAAUGAUUUGGAUGGAUUACUCUCUCAUCAUUGUGUUUGUCUGGGCUCUGCUGCUGUUUGGAGGAUCAGUACUGAUCUUCUAUAAAUGGAGUCACAAUAGGACACAAGGGUCUGCCUCUACAAACAAUGAGAGAAGAAUACAGAACACUGUGAGUGAAAAGACCCAUUAAAAUCAGAGUCUUAAACCUGCGUCUCAUUAUAACCAAAUAUGAACUGUUUUAAAAUGUAAAAGCGUACGUCAGUAGUAUUCAGCACUGUUUUAUGAUGCUACAGGGUCUGUAAGUGUUGGCAUUUGGAAGAUGCUUUGGAAGAUGAUCCAGAUGACCAAGGACUUGUGAAGUAUCUAAAUAUUAAUGCCAGUUGUGUUUAACCUGAAAUCUCCACAGCAGUAGAUCUUCACGGCCAGAGUUGGAAACUCUUGGUUUAAAGGCCACAUUGGGAAUUAUUCUGCAUGAAUGAAUGAAUGUAAUGUGACUAAGGUUUUAAGUUAUUUUUUCACUGUGUGUCUUACAGUGGUUGCAGGCUGAUGGUGAUUUAUGAAAAUGAUCUUCCUCACAACCAGAACAACAUCAGCAUGGGUCCAAUCUACCAGAGCCUGGACCCCAAAACCAACCAAUCAGAUUCAGUCUACCAGAGUCUAAACCCCAACACCAACCAAUCAGAUUCAGUCUACCAGAGUCUAAACACCAAAACCAACUGAUCAAAUACAGUCUACCAGAGCCUAAACCCCAACACCAACUGAUCAGAUUCAGUCUACCAGAGUCUAAACCCAAAUACCAAUCAACCAGAGGUAGUCUACCACAACCUAGACUUGAACACCAAAUAAUCAAAAUCAUUCUAUCAAAGUUUUGACCAGGGGUGUCCAAUCUUAUCCACAAAGAGUAAGUGUGGCUGUCGGCUUUCUUCCUAUUGUGUAAUCAGUGGGUCUUAGUCUGCAAACAAUUGAUCAUGUGUAGUCCUGCUUUAUUGGAUUAGAUUGGACAUCGCUGUUUUAACACAAACAAAUGAGAUCCAAUCCACCAGAGCUGAAACCCAAGCACCAACAGAGCUCAACUCAGAUUUAGCUGUCUAAACCGAUUCUCAAAGUAUGGCAGCAAAAAAUAAUUUGCAGUUAUAAUUUGUCUUGAUCAAGAUGAAAAUGUAUGUAAAUUUCUUCCAACACUGGCUUUCCAUUCAAAUUUGUGUGAGAAAAUCUGAAGAAUCCUGUUGAACUCGACUGCAGUUCUGUAAGCCCUAUCUAUGUAUUGAAUUUAGCAAGUUAUAGAUUAGGAUUAGGAUUAUUGUUUCCAAGAAUUAUUGCUGAACAUGUUUACAAAUUAGGUUUAUUUUAUUAUGAAUAUUGUGAUGCUGUGGCAAAGAAGAGUCAGGUGAAGCCUUGAUUUCUACUUGGAAAAAAAGCUUUUUUGUUAACAAAACAGCAGAAAAAGCACACAACACACUGCUCUAACUCCUCUAACACUGCUCUUAGGCUACCAGCCAAUGGUCACCAUACCAAUAACACAAAACAGCCAAUGGGUUACCAAAGCAGAGGGACUGCAGUGGAACGUGUGAUGGCUUCAGCACCAAGCAGCAGCCUGACUAGUAGAAUCUCUGCCACAGCCACCCCAAAGUGCCCCACAGCAGCUUCCCCAUGCACCACUCCCACCACUGUUUUACAGAGGCUGGGUGGCACCAGCAAAUGCCAGAGGUGCUCACUGGGCAAUGGCUCCUCCCACAUGUGGUACAACAACCCCUUUUGCAACUGGAGACAACCAGUGCGGAGCACCUUGGCAGUGGACCCAUGCAGUGUUACAUCGGUCCAUUCUGGUGUGCCCCACCUGGAGCCAGCGGUACGCUAAAGGAGGGUUCAGCGUCUUCCUCCUAGACACAACAGAACUCCUAAGAGCUUAUGGAGUCCAGUACAACCAGGAGCAACAGCCAUGGCCACAGCUCUCCUCUCCACUAUCUCAGCUUUCUCCUCAAGGGAUGCUUAAUACUGGGACUCCUCCCCUGAGCAAAGGCGAUGAGACACUGGUAUUACCAUAUAGGUGACUGGCAUGAUGCUGAACGGAUAAGUUGUACUCUAGUAGCACCGUGAUCAACCUCACUACCUGACCCACAGGCUCUUUCAACUACAUGAGUCAGAUCAAAGGAGGCAUGAUCAGUGCACAACAUGAAGGGGACACCAUACAGGUAGGACUGGAACUGGUGCAGCCCCACCACACCUGGAAAACGUGAUGCACCAGUCCUUGGGGAUGCUGGUGAGCACUUGAUCCAUCAGCUGCCUGAAUGUAUCUGGUGAAUUUCGGAGGCCAUUACUGUGAAAUGCCAUAGUCCGGUGCCAAACAUGAACACUGUGUGUUUAGAGCAAGUACACACUCUCCAUUUCCAGUGAACUGAACUCUGAGA